rnacentral:rRNA from 1 species
CGUGGGUAACCUGCCCAUAAGACUGGGAUAACUCCGGGAAACCGGGGCUAAUACCGGAUAAUAUUUUGAACUGCAUGGUUCGAAAUUGAAAGGCGGCUUCGGCUGUCACUUAUGGAUGGACCCGCGUCGCAUUAGCUAGUUGGUGAGGUAACGGCUCACCAAGGCAACGAUGCGUAGCCGACCUGAGAGGGUGAUCGGCCACACUGGGACUGAGACACGGCCCAGACUCCUACGGGAGGCAGCAGUAGGGAAUCUUCCGCAAUGGACGAAAGUCUGACGGAGCAACGCCGCGUGAGUGAUGAAGGCUUUCGGGUCGUAAAACUCUGUUGUUAGGGAAGAACAAGUGCUAGUUGAAUAAGCUGGCACCUUGACGGUACCUAACCAGAAAGCCACGGCUAACUACGUGCCAGCAGCCGCGGUAAUACGUAGGUGGCAAGCGUUAUCCGGAAUUAUUGGGCGUAAAGCGCGCGCAGGUGGUUUCUUAAGUCUGAUGUGAAAGCCCACGGCUCAACCGUGGAGGGUCAUUGGAAACUGGGAGACUUGAGUGCAGAAGAGGAAAGUGGAAUUCCAUGU